CUCAUAUAUAUGAUAUUUAGCCAAAACCUAUAUAUUGUUUUUAAAAAAGCCUAAGCCUCAAAACUUUGAAAAUAAUGAGUUUUAUCUUUCAGAACACAAUGGGUUAGUUGCCCCCUUCUAACCUGAAAUUGUGUUUCUUUCUCCAGAUAAUUGUGAUUGUUGUGAUUCCUCUAAAUAGUUCCGGGCUCGUAUCCGUGCUUUAAACCAGGCUGGCACGAGUCCUGUUGAUAUAUAACUUCAACUUGCUCCGCUGA